rnacentral:rRNA from 1 species
ACAGUGGUCUCAAGCGUUGUUCGGAUUCAUUGGGCGUAAAGGGUGCGUAGGUGGCGGGGUAAGUCAGGUGUGAAAUCUCGGAGCUCAACUCCGAAACUGCACUUGAUACUGCCUUGCUCGAGUACUGGAGAGGAGAUUGGAAUUUACGGUGUAGCAGUGAAAUGCGUAGAUAUCGUAAGGAAGACCAGUGGCGAAGGCGAAUCUCUGGACAGUUACUGACACUGAGGCACGAAGGCCAGGGGAGCAAACAGGA